rnacentral:sRNA from 1 species
GCUGGGCAUGGUGGUGCAUGCCUGUAAUCCCAAUGACGCGGGAGGCUGAGGUUAGAGGAUCAUGGGUUUAGGCCAGCCUCAACAACUUAGCAAGACCCUGUCUCAA